UCUCGAUCCAGCGAAUAAGGGGUUUCCUUAAACCUACUGGGUACGCGGUUGAGGAAACACUAAUCCACCUCAAACAUGCCUAGCAUGGUGGGUUACACACAAGCUAUAUGGCAUCACACUCUAACUCUACAACACUAACAACAACAUCAUCACUAAACAAAUCAACCAGUUAGUCACUCCCUUACCAAGAGCUGACUAACCUCAAUCAACAAGCAUUAAUUAAUAAGCAAACAUUCAGCAUUCGCUAACUAACCAAUCAACCUAACCAUUAGCAUGCUACUAAGGUUCCCAAGCAAUAACAACGCAUGCUAUCAACUCAAUCAACUAAUGCUCAACUAUUAACUAAUCAAACCGUUACUCAGUUAGAGCCGGCCUCCUGCCAUGAUCCAACUUCCAAGUAACGGGAACCUGCAUGAAAACAAGUCAUCAAUCAAUUGAUUAUAACUCACAGUGUUCUUUGCCGAUAAGCAGCGGGUUGAUCAGAGAAGACAUGGCCAAAACCCAUUGGACGACUUGACUGGACUGAUCUUGACUUGGACAAAACCUCUGCUUCACCAUGUAAACACUAACAGGUCUGGACGGACUGAUCUGGACUCGGACAGAACCUCCUCUAGCUUCUGGACAGUUCUUCGGCCUUCUCGGCGGAAUAUCGCUGAUACGAAGUAACAGCGCCGGAGGCACGACCCGGCCAGUUAAGGCCAGGAGCAUAUCGCCACUUUGAGCACUCUAAUUUCUUCAAAGUAACAGCGCCGGAGGCACGACCCGGCCAGUUAAGGCCAGGAGCGUAUCGCCGACAGAAGAGACAAGCCGACCGGUGCUCGCCGAAGGCGGACCGGGCGACCCAUCCCAAGGUUCAACUACGAGCUUUUUAACUGCAACAACUUAAAUAUACGCUAUUGGAGCUGGAAUUACCGCGGCUGCUGGCACAAGACUUGCCCUCCAAUGGAUCCUCGUUAAGAGAUUUAGAUUGUACUCAUUCCAAUUACCAGACUCAAAGAGCCCGGUAUUGUUAUUUAUUGUCACUACCUCCCCGUGUCAGGAUUGGGUAAUUUGCGCGCAUGCUGCCUUCCUUGGAUGUGGUAGUCGUUUCUCAGGCUCCCUCUCCAGAAUUGAACCCUAAUUCUCCGUCACCCGUUACCACCAUGGUAGGCCACUAUCCUACCAUCAAAAGUUGACGAACCCUAAUUCUCCGUCACCCGUUACCACCAUGGUAGGCCACUAUCCUACCAUCGAAAGUUGAUAGGGCAGAAAUUUGAAUGAUGCGUCGCCAGCACUAAGGCCAUGCGAUCCGUCGAGUUAUCAUGAAUCAUCAGAGCAACGGGCAGAGCCCGCGUCGACCUUUUAUCUAAUAAAUGCAUCCCUUCCAGAAGUCGGGGUUUGUUGCACGUAUUAGCUCUAGAAUUACUACGGUUAUCCGAGUAGUAGUUACCAUCAAACAAACUAUAACUGAUUUAAUGAGCCAUUCGCAGUUUCACAGUCUGAAUUCGUUCAUACUUACACAUGCAUGGCUUAAUCUUUGAGACAAGCAUAUGACUACUGGCAGGAUCAACCAGGUAGCAUUCAUAAAUCAGGGCAAGACCACGUCAUAUUCCCACAAACACAUGGAAAGUGGGAACAGACGCAGACUUGACUGUCAUCUUUGGUCCAGAGACAAACGUGCUUAGCGGGAAAGAAUUUCUUCGAGUCACCGCCAUAAUAUUUCCGAACCGAGAUCUCAGCAAACAGCUUAUUCACCUUUGCGAACAAUGCAUAAAUUAUGCAAAGACGCAAGGAUCACAAGUGCCGGCUUAUGUGUUCACGACUUCCCCACUGAAGGAGAUGCCGCAAACAACAUUUUAAGCAAGCAUAAAACUAUGCUAGUGAAGAAACUCAGGAGGAUAGUUGGUCUGUAGUUGGGUGCGCGAGCACAGAGCCUUACACACACUAGCUAUCCAAUCACCACUCAUACGCCGAAUGUUCAUUUUCCUCGCUAACAUCAAUCUUUCCAACCACUCUUGAGAUGUAAUCAAAAGAGCAACUGGAAGACGGAUGGAACCAGGCCAAGACCACACAAGAGCGAAAAUUUGAAGUUAGGGGCAAAACGGUUCGCCUGAAAAUUCGCCGGAAAAGUUACCAGAAAAUUCACCGAAGACAAUCCGGCCAUCGACCUAAACCCAGCCAUCGAUAGUGUUGGACCGAGCAGUCCAACACUACAUACCCCUUCGGGUACUGAGGGUAGGCUCAGAAGAGUGCCUACCCCUUAUACUGACAAAACACUUUUUUUCAGUCUGUCACCAGUCGACAUUGGUUGUGUUCCGGGAGUAUUUUUAAUGUAAAAAACAAAAUACUUCGAAUUUGAAUCUGAUUUUUUGCAUGCUCCAUAAGAAUAGUUAAAACUAUUUUCUCGUAAAUUUUCAUGAUUUUCUUUUGCUUCUAAUCAUGUCUUUUGCAUGCUACAAAUUUUAGGGUUUCGUGGUCUAAACGGAUGUCUACAGCAACUUUUGAUCAACACUUGACAUCCUAAACUCUUUGUUGACAUAUUUUUGAUGUUUCCUUUCAGAAAACUUUCUUCAAAAAUAUUAAUUUUUGAAUUUUUGGCUUCUCUGGUGAUUUUGGCUGUCCGUGGGUGAUUUUGGCCCACGUGGGCUGUCUGUUCAGUACACACAGGACGUCUAUGUGUGUCUGCAAGCACACACAGGACGUCUGUGGCUGUCAGUGUGUGUCCGUCUUUGUUCGUCAGCAGACACAUGACGUCUGUGGCUAUCCAUCAGUACACAUAUCAGCACGUUGGUCCUUGGACUCAGCACGCUGGCCCUUCCUGUGAACUGUUUGGGUGAUUUUGGCCCACGUGGGCUGUCUGUUCAGUACACACAGGACGUCUGUGGGUGUCCGCCAGCACACACAGGACGUUCGUGGCUGUCCGUGGCUGUCCAACAGCACACACAUGACAUCUGUGUCUGUCCGUGUGUGUCCGUCAGCACACACAGGACGUCCGUGGCUGUCCAUCAGUACACAUAUCAGCACUCUGGUCCUUGGACUCAGCACGCUGGCCCUUCCCGUGGACUGUUCGGGUGAUUUUGGCCCACCUGGACUGUCCGCUCAGUACACACAGGACGUCCGUGGGUGUCCGUCAACACACACAGGACGCCCGUGUGUGUCCGUCAGCGCACACAGGACGUCCUUGGCUGUCCAUCAGUAUACAUAUUAGCACGUUGGUCCUUGGACUCAGCACGCUGACCCUUCCCGUGGACUGUUCGGGUGAUUUUGGCCCACGUGGGCUGUCUGGUCAAUACACACAGGACGUCCGUGGGUAUCCGCCAACACACACAGGACGUCUGUGGCUGUCCGUGUGUGUCUGUCAGCACACACAUGACGUCCAUGGCUGUCCAUCAGUACAGAUAUCAGCACGUUGGUCCUUGGACUCAGCACGCUGGCCCUUCCCGUGGACUGUUUGGGUGAUUUUGGCCCAUGUGCGCUGUCUGUUCAGUACACACAGGACAUCUGUGGGUGUCCACCAGCACACAGAGGACGUUUGUGGCUGUCUGUGGCUGUCCGUCAGCACACACAGGACGUCCGUGGCUGUUCGUGUGUGUCCGUCUGUGUCCGUCAGCACACAUAGGACUUCCGUGGGUGUCCAUCAGGAAAAACACAGGACGUCCGUGUGUGUCUGUCAUCACACACAUGAUGUCUGUGGCUGUCCGUGUGUGUCCGUCAGCAAACACAGGACGUCCGUGGCUGUCCAUCAGUACACAUAUCUGCACAUUGGUCGUUGGACUCAGCACGCUGGCCCUUCCCAUGGACUGUUUGGGUGAUUUUGGCCCACGUGGGCUGUCUGUUCAGUACACACAGGACGUUCGUGGGUGUCCGCCAGCACACACAGGACGUUCGUGGUUGUCCGUCAGUACACACAGGACGUCCGUGGCUUUCUGUGUGUGUCUGUGUGUGUCCGUCAGCACACACACAGGAUGUCUGUGGCUGUCCAUCAGUACACAUAUCAGCACGCUGGUUCUUGGACUCAGCACGCUGGCCCUUCCAAUGGACUGUUCGGGUGAUUUUUGCCCACGUUGGCUGUCUGUUCAGUACACACAGGACGUCUGUGGGUGUCUGUUAGCACACACAUGAUGUCUGUGUGUGUCCGUCACCAAACACAAGACGUCUGUGGCUGUCCAUGUGUGUCCGUGUGUGUCCGUCAGCACACACAGGACGUCCGUGGCUGUCCAUCAGUACACAUAUCUGCACAUUGGUCCUUGGACUCAGCACGCUGACCCUUUCCGUGGACUGUUCGGGUGAUUUUGGGCCCACGUGGGUUGUCUGUUCAGUACACACAGGACGUCCGUGGGUGUCCGCCAGCAUACACAGGACGUCUGUGGCUAUCCGUCAGCACACACAGGAUGUCAGUGGCUAUCCGUGUGUGUCCGUGUGUGUCAGUGGUUGUCCGUGGUUGUCCAUCAGUACGCAUAUCAGGACGCUGGUAGGCCCUUCCCGUGGACUGUUUGGGUGAUAUUGGCCAACGUGGGCUGUCUGUUCAGUACACACAGGACGUCCGUGGGUGUCUGCCAGCACACACAUGACGUCCGUGGUUGUCUGUCAGCACACACAGGACUUCCGUGGUUGUCAGUGUGUGUCUGUCACCACACACAGGACGUCCGUGGCUGUCCAUCAGUAUACAUAUCAGCACGCUGGUCCUUGGACUCAGCACGCUGUUCCUUGGACUCAGCACGCUGGCCCUUCCCGUGGACUGUUCGGCUGAUUUUGGCCCACGUGGGCUGUCUGUUCAGUACACACAUGACGUCCGUGGGUGUCCGUCAGCACACACAGGACGUCCGUGUGUGUCUGUCAGCACACACAGGACGUCUGUGUGUGUCUGUCAGCACACACAAGACGUCUGUGGAUGUCCGUGUGUGUCCGUGUGUGUCCGUCAGCACACACAGGACGUCCGUGGCUGUCCAUCUGUACACAUAUCAGCACGUUGGUCCUUGGACUCAGCACACUGACCCUUCCCGUGGACUGUUCAGGUGAUUUUGGCCAACGUGGGCUGUCUGUUCAGUACACACAGGACGUUUAUGGGUGUCCGCCAGCACACAUAGGACAUCUGUGGUUGUCCGUGUCUGGCUGUGUCCGUCAGCACACACAGGACGUCUGUGGCUGUCCAUCAGUACACAUAUCAGCACGUUGGUCCUUGGACUCAGCAUGCUGGCCCUUCCCGUGGACGGUUUGGGUUAUUUUGGCCCACUUAGGCUGUCUGUUCAGUACACACAGGACGUCCGUGGUUUUCCACUUGCACAAAUAGGACGUCCGUGGCUGUCUGUGGCUGUCCGUCAUCACACACAGGACGUCAGUGGCUGUCUGUGUGUGUCCGUGUGUGUCCUUGUGUGUCCGUCGGCACACACAGGACGUCUGUGGCUGUCCAUGUGUGUCCGUCAGCACACACAGGACGUCCGUGGCUGUCCAUCAGUACACAUAUCAGCACGUUGGUCCUUGGACUCAGCACGCUGGCCCCGGGUGAUUUUGGCCCACGUGGGCUGUCUUUUCAUGACACACAGGACGUCCGUGGGUGUCCGCCAGCACACACAGAACGUUCGUGGCUGUCCGUGGCUGUCCGUCCGUACACGCAAGACGUCUGUGGCUGUCUAUGUGUGUGUCCGUCAGCACACACACAAGAAUUCUGUGGCUGUCCAUCAGUACACAUAUCAGCACGCUGGUCCUUGGACUCAGCACGCUGGCUCUUCCCAUGGACUGUUCGGGUGAUUUUGGCCCACGUGGGCUGUCUAUUCAGUACACACAGGACAUCCGUGGGUGUCUGUCAGCACACACAGGACGUCCGUGUGUGUCCGUGUCACCACACACAGGACGUCCGUGGCUGUCCAUGUGUGUCCGUGUUUGUCCGUCAGCACACAGAUGACGUCCGUGGCUGUCCAUCAGUACACAUAUCAGCACGUUGGUCCUUGGACUCAGCACGCUGGCCCUUCCCGUGGACUGUUCGGGUGAUUUUGGCCCACGUGGGUUGUCUGUUCAGUACACACAGGACGUCCGUGGGUAUCCGCCAGAACACACAGGACGUCCGUGGCUGUCUGUGGCUAUCCGUCAGCACACACAGGAUGUCCGUGGCUGUCCGUGGGUGUCCGUGUGUGUCUGUGUGUGUCCGUGGUUGUCCAUCAGUACGCAUAUCAGCACGCUGGUCCUUUGACUCAGCACGCAGGCCCUUCCCGUGGACUGUUUGGGUGAUUUUGGCCAAUGUGGGCUGUCUGUUCAGUACACACAGGACAUCCGUGGGUGUCUGCCAGCACACACAUGACGUCCGUGGCUGUCCGUCAGCACACACAGGACUUCCGUGGCUGUCCGUGUGUGUCUGUCACCACACACAGGAUGUCUGUGGCUUUCCAUCAGUACACAUAUCAGCACGCUGGUCCUUGGACUCAGCACGCUGGCCUUUCCCGUGGACUGUUCGGGUGAUUUUGGCCCACGUGGGCUGUCUGUUCAGUACACACAGGACGUCCGUGGGUGUCCGUCAGCACACACAGGACGUCCGUGUGCGUCCGUCAGCACACACAGGAUGUCCAUGGGUGUCCGUCAGCACACACAGGACGUCUGUGGCUGUCCGUGUGUGUCCGUCAGCACACACAGGACGUCCGUGGCUGUCCAUCUGUACACAUAUCAGCACAUUGGUGGUCCUUGGACUCAGCACGUUGACCCUUCCCGUGGACUGUUCGGGUGAUUUUGGCCCACAUGGGCUGUCUGUUCAGUACACACAGGACGUCCCUGGGUUUCUGCCAGCACACAUAGGACAUAUGUGGCUGUCCGUGUGUGUCCGUCUGUGUCUGGCUGUGUCCGUCAGCACACACAGCACGUUGUAUCCGUGUGUGUCCGUCGGCACACACAGGACGUCUGUGAUUGUCCGUGUGUGUCCGUCAGCACACACUGGACGACCGUGGCUGUCCAUCAGUACACAUAUCAGCACGUUGGUCCUUGGACUCAGCACGCUGGCCCUUCCCGUGGACGGUUUGGGUUAUUUUCGCCCACUUGGGCUGUCUGUUCAGUACACACAGGACGUCCGUGGGUGUCCACCAGCACAAACAGGACGUCCGUGGCUGUCUGUGGCUGUCCGUCAUUACACACAGGACGUCCGUGGCUGUCUGUGUGUAUCCGUGUGUGUCCGUCGGCACACACAGGACGUCUGUGAUUGUCCGUGUGUGUCCGUCAGCACACACUGGACGACCGUGGCUGUCCAUCAGUACACAUAUCAGCACGUUGGUCCUUGGACUCAGCAAGCUGGCCCCGGGUGAUUUUGGCCCACAUGGGCUGUUUGUUCAGUACACACAGGACGUCCGUGGGUGUCUGUCAGCACACACAGGACGUCCGUGUGUGUCCGUCACAACACACAGGACAUCCGUGGGUGUCCAUGUGUGUUCGUGUGUGUCCGUCAGCACACACAGGACGUCCGUGGCUGUCCAUCAGUUCACAUAUCAGCACGUUGGUCCUUGGACUCAGCAAGCGGACCCUUCCCGUGGACUGUUCGGGUGAUUUUGGUACACGUGGGUUGUCUGUUCAAUACACACAGGACUUUCGUGGGUGUCCGCCAGCACACACAGGACGUCCGUGGCUGUCUGUGGCUGUCCGUCAGCACACACAGGACGUCUGUGGCUGUCCGUGUGUGUCUGUGUGUGUCUGUGUGUGUGUCCGUCAGCACACACAGGCCAUCCGUGGCUGUCCAUCAGUACACAUAUCAGCACGUUGGUCCUUGAACUCAGCACGCUGGCCCUUCCCGUAGACUGUUCGGGUGAUUUUGGCCAACGUGGGCUGUCUGUUCAGUACACACAGGACGUCUGUGGGUGUCUGCCAGUACACACAGGACGUCCGUGGCUGUCCGUCAGCACACACAGGACGUCCGUGGCUGUCCGUGUGUGUCCGUCACCACACACAGGACGUCUGUGGCUGUCCAUCAGUACACAUAUCAGCACUGUGGUCCUUGAACUCAGCACGCUGGCCCUUCCCGUAGACUGUUCGGGUGAUUUUGGCCCACGUGGGCUGUCUGUUCAGUACACACAGGACGUUUGUGGGUGUCCGCCAGCACACACAGGUCGUCUGUGGCUGUCCGUGUGUGUCUGUGUGUGUCCGUCAGCACACACAGGACGUCCGUGGCUGUCCAUCCGUACACAUAUCAGCACGCUGGUCCUUGAACUCAGCAUGCUGGCCCUUCCUGUGGACAGUUUGGGUGAUUUUGGCCCACGUGGGCUGUCUGUUCAGUACACAGAGGACGUCCGUGAGUGUCCGCCAGCACACACAGGACGUCUGUGGCUGUCCGUGGCUGUCCGUCAGCACACACAGGACGUCCGUGGCUGUCUGUGUCUGUCAGUGUGUGUCUGUGUGUGUCCGUCAGCACACACAGGACGUCUGUGUGUGUCCGUCAGCACACACAGGACGUCUGUGUGUGUCCGUCAGCACACACAGGACGUCUGUGUGUGUCCGUCAGCAUACACAGGACGUCUGUGGCUGUCCUUCAGCACACACAGGACGUACGUGGCUGUCCUUGUGUGUCCGUGUGUGUCCGUGUGUGUCCGUCAGCACACACAGGACGUCCGGGGCUGUCCAUCAGUACACAUAUCAGCACCUUGGUCCUUGGACUCUGCACCCUGACCCUUCCCGUGGACUGUUUGGGUAAUUUUGGCCCACGUGGCCUGUCUGUUCAAUACACACAGGACGUCCGUGGGUGUCCGCCAGCACACACAGGACGUCCGUGGCUGUCCGUGUGUGUCCGUUUGUGUCCGUCAGCACACACAGGACUUCCAUGGCUGUCCAUCGGUACACAUAUUAGCACGUUGGUCCUCUGACUCAGCAUGCUGGCCCUUCCCGUGGACGGUUUGGGUGAUUUUGGCCCACGUGGGCUGUCUGUUCAGUAUACACAGGACGUCCGUGGGUAUCCGCCAGCACACACAGGACGUCUGUGGCUGUCCGUGGCUGUCCGUCAGCACACACAGGACGUCCGUGGCUGUCUGUGUCUGUCAGUGUGUGUCUGUGUGUGUCCGUCAGCACACACAGGAUGUCUGUGGCUGUCCGUGUGUGUCCGUCAGCACACAAAGGACGUCCAUGGCUGUCCAUCAGUACACAUUGCAGCACGUUGGUCCUUGGACUCAGCACGCUGGCCUUCCUGUGGACUGUUUGGGUGAUUUUGGCCCACGUGGGCUGUCUGUUCAGUACACACUGGACGUCUGUGGGUGUCCGCCAGCACACACAGGACGUCCGUGGCUGUCCGUGCGUGUCCGUGUGUGUCCGUCAGCACACACACAGGAUGGACGUCAGUGGCUGUCCUUCAGUACACAUAUCAGCACGCUGGUCCUUGGACUCUGCACGCUGACCCUUCCCGUGGACUGUUUGGGUGAUUUUGGCCCAUGUGGGUUGUAUGUUCAGUACACACAGGACGUCCGUGGGUGUCUGUGACACCCCCGAUCGUAGAUGACCGGAAAUGACAUGGUCGAUGUUCCUCGAUUGUCGAUCUGAGGUUCUCAGAAUACUUCUGAUCGCCUUAGACCAACAACCAAAGAACACCAACGCUCCUAUCGGAUAUAACUCUAGGCUUUUCUACCCGACAAAGCAAUACCCGAUAGUUAGUUCGUCCGGACAAGGACUAAUAUCAUAUGGAACCCGUACUUAAAAAAAAACAUUCUUUAUAUAUCAAUCAAAAGCAUCUUACAAAAUUUGUUAUAAAUUAACCUCGAGGUUUUCGGUCAACAAAUCUUAUACAUAAGAUAUAUCAAAAUGACUUUGCAUGGAUAAUAAAACUACCGCUGGCUAAUGCUGUUUCUUCCCGUCCUAGAGUAAGGUCUCCCGCCUAUUGGUUACCUGCUUCACAAAUGAGUCAUGAGUAACUAGUUUACUCAGUGAGCUUAGUCCCGCACCCCAACAUAUAUUAAUAAUAUCUCAAGCAAUCUACUUCAUUUGUAUGCAGUGGAAAUAUAUUCCAUAUCUGGAUAUUUAUUUAUAAGGAAUAUUCUUCCAUUAUUGUGAAUCUAAUCAUAUACCUCACUUCCUAUUCAUAUAAUCAUAUAUAUACAAGACCCGAGAAACCACAAAGGCUAAACGAGUCUAGCGAGUUAGCAUCACCAUCAUCGCCAUCAGAUAUUCAAAAAUUGAACAUCUAACGCUGCAUGCAGUUACACGGCCUCCAGGGUGCGACCCCAUCAUCGUGUCUUUGUGACCUUGUUCCAUAUCGCAGGACCAAUUCAUGGUAAUCAUCAUUCAUACGAGAAUAUUUGGGAGAAAGGUUUAUAAUAAGACUUCACAUGAUUAAUACUUCCAUACUUAAUUAUAUUUAUUACUAUACAUAUUUAUUAGUACUUAAGAACAAGUACUAAGGUUUGGAAUAAACCUCUAUGAUCAUUCAUAAAUAUAUAAUAAGUGUUUACACUAAGUAAACACCUUACCAAUUCAGUAUUGAUCAAGAGACAAAGCCUAUCAGUCAUCUACAAUCAGUACGUUCAAUCAAUAAAUAUUCAUUCACUACUCAUCAAUCAUCUAUCUAGACUCACCUUUGAUUCCAUGAGAUUGGCUAGGGAAGACUAGACUCGAGCUCAACUAAUAACACUCCAUUUCACUCCUGAUUCAGAAUGUGUUGAUACAAGAUCAGUCAGGUUGAUUCCAACAGAAACUCUACUCAGAUUAGUUCAAAGCAGUUCAGUUCGGUUGAAGGAUAAUUCAGUUCAGCUAAGCCUUUAAAAAAAUAUCUAAGGGACAUAACUGAACCAAGAUCAAUCCACAUACAGGUUUAAAAACUAAUCUGGACAGGGAGCUAAACAAAUCAUUCCACAUGUUCCAAACAAAACUUCUCUGAACUAGUAGCUAUGGCUUACCGAUUUCCUCAAGCUUUAAGAUGAACUUGGUUGAUAUAAACUUCAAUCUGAACACACGUCUAACCUGAUCAGGACAAGAUACCCAUGAUAGGUUCAAGAUCAUAACAAGAACUGAAGCUUAAGCAAAACUGAUCUCAUCAAACCCAUAUGUUCUUACCGAUAAAAUUCAAGGCUAAAGAACUUGGGUGAUUAUAAACUCUUGAACACCAAACCUCCAGCUCUUAACCACACCAGAACACACUGAUUAAAGUCACAGGAUGGUGAGAAAGGGUCGUCCAAGCUCACUUCUCUUCCCUGAUUUUUUUCUGAAUUUUUCAACUAAUUUUCUCACAGAUUUUUCUCUCUUUCUCUCUGAAUUUUAUCUGGUUUUUCUUGCAGAAACAGGACGUCCAGAGGAGAGAAGAAUAUGUUUUAUACCAUAUGGGGUUGCUUCAGCUCAGGGUUUUCUCUUUACACAAAGUGGUAGUUUGGAGAAACAUGUGGCAACCAGCUUCAGCACAAGCAGCUCACCUUUCCCUUACAAGAAGAAAGCUGCAAGCAGCUGAAGCAAACAGCUUGUGACCAGCAUGUUACUUCUAAUGAGCAAGCAGGUAAGCAAGUAGGUGCAUGUCAUGUGACCUAAUAACUCAGAAAGCAAGUAGGCCAGAAGGUGCAAGGCAUGUGACUGUUCAGAAAUAAUUUUAAGAGUUUUGUCGAUAUUUUUUGGACUGUUUCGACUAAAUAUUUUUCAUCAUUCGAAUCUCGUCCUGCUCUGAAUAAACUCGCCUAGCAUGAAUAAAAAUCAACAAUAAUAAUUAACACUCGACCAGAACCAUCAAGAGAUGGUUUUUCGACCAAAAGACAGCCCGUCGAGAGAUUAAUUCACCGUGUCGAUUAUUAUUUAAAUUCUGAUCGAUCAAUCUUCAAACUGAUCUUAAAGAAUUUUCUUGACGUCCGUGGCUGUCCGUCAGCACACACAUGACGUCUGUGGCUGUCUGUGUGUGUGUGUGUGUGUCCGUGUGUGUCCGUCAGCACACACAGGACGUCCGUGGCUGUCCAUCAGUACACAUAUCAGCACGUUGAUCCUUGGACUCAGCACGCUGGCCCUUCCCGUGGACUGUUUGGGUGAUUUUGGCCCACGUGGCCUGUCUGUUCAGUACACGCAGGACGUCCAUGGGUGUCCGCCAGCACACACAGGACGUCAGUGGCUGUCCGUGUGUGUCUGUCAGCACACACACAGGACGUAUGUGGCUGUCCAUCAGUACACAUAUCAGCACGCUGGCCCUUCCCGUGGACUGUUCGGGUGAUUUUGGCCCACGUGGGCUGUCUGUUCAGUACACACAGGACGUCCGUGGGUGUCGGUCAGCACACACAGGACGUCCGUGUGUGUCCGUCAGCACACACAGGACGUCCGUGGCUGUCCAUGUGUGUCCGUGUGUGUCCGUCAGCACACACAGGACGUCUGUGGCUGUCCAUCAGUACACAUAUCAGCACGUUGGUCCUUGGACUCAGCACGCUGGCCCUUCCCGUAGAAUGUUUGGGUGAUUUUGGCCCACAUGGGCUGUCUGUUCAGUACACUAAGGAUGUCCGUGGGUGUCCACCAGAACACACAGGACGUCCGUGGCAAUCCAUGGUUGUCUGUGGCUGUCCCUGUGUGUCCGUCAGCACACACAGGACGUCUGUGGCUGUCCGUGUGUGUCCGUCAGCACACACAGGACCUCUGUGGCUGUACAUCAGUACACAUAUCAGCACGUUGGUUCUUGGACUCAGCACGCUGGCCCUUCCCAUGGACUGUUUGGGUGAUUUUGGCCCACGUGGGCUGUCUGUUCAGUACACACAGGACGUCCGUGGGUGUCCGCCAGCACACACAGGACGUCCGUGGCGGUUCGUGGCUGUCUGUCAAGACACACAGGAUGUCCGUUGCUGUCCGUAGUGUCCGUGUGUGUCCGUCAGCACACACACAGGACGUCUGUGGCUGUCCAUCAGUACACAUAUCAGCACGCUAGUCCUUGGACUCAGCACGCUGGCCCUUUAUGUGGACUGUUCGGGUGAUUUUGGCCCACGUGGGCUGUCUGUUCAGAACACACAGGACGUCCGUGGGUGUCCAUCAGCACACACAGGACGUAUGUGUGUGUCCGUCAGCACACACAGGACGUUUGCGGCUUUCCGUGUGUGUCCGUGUGUGUCCGUCAGCACACACAGGAUGUCCGUGGCUGUCCAUCAGUACACAUAUCAGCACGUCUGUCCUUGGACUCAGCACGUUGGUCCUUGGACUCAGCACGUUGGUCCUUGGACUCAGCACGCUAACCCUUUCCGUGGACUGUUCGGGUGAUUUUGGCCCACGUGGGCUGUUUCUUUAGUACACACAGGACGUCCGUGGGUGUCCGCCAGCACAGACAGGACAUCAGUGGCUGUCCAUGGCUGUCUGUGUGUGUCCGUCGGUGUCCGUCUGUGUCCGUCAGCACCCACAAGACGUCCGUGGCUGUCCAUCAGUACACAUAUCAGCACGUUGGUCCUUGGACUCAGUACGCUGGCCCUUCCCGUGGACUGUUCGGGUGAUUUUGGCCCACGUGGGCUGUCUGUUCAGUACACACAGGACGUCCGUGGGUGGCCGGCAGCACACACACGUCGUCUGUAGCUGUCCGUGUGUGUCCGUCAGCACACACGGGGUGUCCAUGGCUGUCCAUCAGUACACAUAUCAGCACGCUGGUCCUUGGACUCAGCACGCUAGACCUUCCUGUGGACUAUUCGGGUGAUUUUGGCCCACGUGGGCUGUCUGUUCAGUACACACAGAACGUCCGUGUGUGUCCUUCAGCACACAUAGGACGUCCGUGGCUGUCCAUCAGCACACACAGGACGUCUGUGGCUGUCUGUGUGUGUCCGUGUGUGUCUUUCAGCACACACAGGACAUCUGUGGCUGUCCAUCAGUACACAUAUCAGCAUGCUGACCUUUCCCGUGGGCUGUUUGGGUGAUUUUGGCCCACGUGGGCUGUCUGUUCAAUACACACAGGACGUCCGUGGGUGUCCACCAGCACACACCGGACGUCCAUGGCUGUCCGUGUGCGUCUGUGUUCGUCAGCACACACAGGACGUCCGCGGCUGUCCAUGUAACUUACGCGAUCCUGGAUAAGGACCGGCGGGACUGCCAUGGUUCGAGGAAACGAACCAGCCGGUCUUAAGACCUUAAGGCUAGCGUUCCAUGGCCAAGAUAGAAGGUUAAGGACGUCAGGAUGCUGAGACUUAACCUUAUAAGAGAAAGAAGUCAGCUAGGAUAAGCUGUACAGAAGCUGGGCGAUGCUUACGAGAAGCUCGAUCAGCUAGACGUAGCUCGGUCAAGCUCAGCCUAGUUCGUUCCAAGUUAAGUCAGCUCAACCAUUUGGACUACUAGCUCACUCAGCUGAGGCAGCUUGGAGUCAGCUCAUCUCAGCUUGACGGACUGUUCAGGUUUCGGGUCGAUGGUCUGGUCCGGGUCAGUGGCGGGCCAUGCAUGAGGUCCGGCCAUGUUGUCCAUGAGUCGUUGGGCUCUUGUGGGCAGGCCGUGGGCUUGGGUACCAAGUCUGGGCUUAGGUUAGACGUGGCUAUAAUGUCUGGAACCUUCUAUUUCCGAACAGGUACGAUCUGGACCGUUGAUUGUAAUCGAUGGUCAAUAUCUGUCCCAAAAGGAUGCUUCGAAGGGAUGUGUCCCUUCGCACAUGAACUUUGGUUGCCUAUAUAUAGGAUGCACGACCAGAGAUUAAUUCAUUCAUUCUCAUUCUGUCUGAGACAAAGGACACACAUCCUAAACAAAGGGAUCCCCCAAUGAGAAACGAGGAUCCAAGCCGGAAGGGCAGAAUCCGGGAUUAAAACCAUAAGGGCACUAUCCGGUUCAUGGUGAGUAUGGCUUUAGCCAUAUGAGGCCGUGGCUUUUAUAAGUCACUAAGGCCAAUAGGAAGACCUAUUAAUGGACGGAAAUAGGCACCAAGGACCAAGGGUGGUUAGCCGAGAGACGGACUGACCAAUUGGUAAGGGCUAUAGCGGCUGUGAGUGGUUCUAUCUCUGUCUCUUUAUAUUAUUAUGUCUAUAUGAUAUAUAUAUAUUGAACGUGAUAGUUAAUCAUAUUACCACGUCAUAGACCAUGGGGUCAUGGUUGGUUACGUUGAUUGCUAACCAUAGCGGAUAGGUUGGAUCAAAAGGGUACAAGUCGCCAAAGGUUGCAUGUUGCCAAGGGUCAUGAGUUACCAAAGGUUGUGAGAUACCAAAGGAUGCAAGUAACCAAAAGGUACGAGAUACCAAUGGUUGCAAGUAUCAAAGGGUACGAGGACCAAAGGGUACCAAUGACCAAAGGGUGCAUCGUGAUCCAAGGUUGCGUGUUGCCAAGGAUCAUGUCGUGAUCCAAGAGGUACGAACGUGUCGUGAUCCAAGAGGUAAGAACGUGUCGUGAUCCAAGAGGUACGAACGUAUCAUGAUCCAUCGGAUGUGAACGGUUCGUGACCGAAAGGGUACAAACGGGUUGGGACUGAAAGGGUACGAACGGAACGGGACCGAAAAGGGUACUGUUGGGGUCAAAAACGGUCAUAACGGAAUUAACACCCGAAAACCCUCGGAAAUCGUAUUUCCGAAAAGAUAGUAAAAGAAAAAUACGAUUUUCUUAAAAAAUAACCAAUACGAAGUUUUUACGAAGAAGUAUCCUUCAAAGCUAAAAAUAGACAACUCAAACUCGAUCAUUGCGAAACUACCGCACAUGCACGCUAUCUGGUCGCUACAUAGCAACCAAGUCCAAGCCAAAGCUCGGUCGCUACGUUACGACCGAACAUCCUUUCUGCUCGGUCGCUACGUAGCGACCGAGCAUCCGUCCCGCUCGGUCGCUACGUAGCGACCGAGCGGGACGGAUGCUCGGUCGCUACGUAGCGACCGAGCGGGACGGAUGCUCGGUCGCUACGUAGCGACCGAGCAGAAAGGAUGUUCGGUCGUAACGUAGCGACCGAGCUUUGGCUUGGCGUCCGUCCCGCUUGGUCGCUACGUAGCGAUGGAGCGUCCAUCCCGCUUGGUCGCUACGUAGCGACCAAGCGUUCGUCCUGCUCGGUCGCUACGUAGCGACCGGGCUCGAGCCAAAGUUCGGUCGCUGCGUAGCGACUGAGCUCUUCUGAAACGUUGAGACGACACGAGUCCAUGCAUUCUCGUCAAACCUUCAAUGCAAUCUCCCAAAGACCGUAGCGAGCUCAGUCUAUUCUUUCCGCUAUUCUAAAUCAUCGAUGAAACUUUGCGGAUUAAUACCGCGAAAAGUUCGUUCCUUAUCGAAUAAAAUCGUAGUAAAUGCUUCGAGUCGGAAGACGGCCCAAAGGGGCCUAAAACACGACUCGAGGCCCAUCCUACGAUUUCUUAACCAAAAGCCCAUAAACCACAGCAUGGUUUACGCUUGAUCCACAAGGAAAGAUAAAUACGGAAGUUUUAAAGAUAAUUGCAAAGAUCGGGAAAAUGGAAUAUCUCCAUUUUUAUGCUAUGACGGCUUAAGGGCAGAAGAGUAAAAGCGUAAACCGACCUUGGAGCUAGUAUAUAAGGAGUCCUAGGCGAGGAGCGUGGGAGAGACUUUUCUUUUCAGAGCAACUUAGCACUUAGAGCAAUUUAGGCAAUUACACAAUUAGGUUUAGCCGUCUUAGGGUUGCUAGAACUAGGAAUCUCGCCGACAGCUCCCGAGCUCAGGCUUAUACCUUGUUGUAAACGCUCAUACGCAGAUUCGAAAAAGAUCUACUUUGCUCUCUUUUCGAUUUCUUAUUUUUAUUGUUGUUAUUCUCGUAUUCUGAUUGCUUGACAUGUGGUAUUAGCAGAUAUCCGGGUCCUCUGGGAAAUUAGGGUUUUCAUAGUUUCCUUAUUUAAACGGAAAUCGACAGUGCAAAUUUCGGUUCUCACAGUUUGGCGCUAGAAGGAGGGGGAGUACGGAUCAAUCUAACCCGCAAAAGCCACAUCACGCUCAGUCAGACAUGUCAACUAACGACGCGGAUAACGUGCAGACUCCUCUUAACGGAGGUAGCGGCACCGAUCUCCACACUCCAGCAGCGGACGUAUCUGCGGCCAACGCACCAGCCAACGCCGCGGCGCUCGAGGAGUUUAAAAAGAUGUUGGCCACCUAUGAGAAAAGGUCGGAAGAACAGGAUAAGCUCGUGAGUACCUUGACUAAACAGGUCGAAAUCUUAACGGCAAGGACUCGAGCAAUCCGUCCCCGCGGAACCAACAAAAUCCGCGGGAAGAGACUCGACUGCGUGGGAACGACCUUCGGGUCAAAACCCUAGCGAGAAAUCUCCCAUCGAAAAGGGGAACCCUGAAAGACCUCCGCCUCCUGCAAAGGAUUCGGAGGAUAACGAAGCCGAACGCAUUGACCUGGAUCCUAGCGAUGUCUCCAACGACACCGAUGAGGACGUCGACAGACAUCCAAGAAGGACCAGAAGUCGAUCUGCUCGAGAAAGCUCUCCGUUCGACAAACCAAUGACGGAAGAGGAGGAAACCCUCUACUAGAACGAACAGGAAGAGCUAGCUGAAAAGAAAACCGAGCUCACUCGCAGCAAACACCGACAAGCUCGGAAAGCCGCUGGCGAGACGUCGGAUAUCCGCGAUUUUCGCAACUACAUCACCAAGACUGCGGCGGAAGUAAGAGCCGUAAAGUCUCAAAUCCAUCACGCUACCAGCGCUGCUCCCGAGAUUGACAGUCUGCUGGAAGGGCCUCGUAAGACCCCCUUCACCACUCGCAUCUCAGAUAUCAGAGUUUCUGAUCCGGGAAAGAUCAAAGUACCAAAGUACGAUGGUACGACCGAUCCGAAGGCGCACCUUCAGGCUUUCCACAUUGCGAUGGGAAGAGAGAGACUGAAGGAUGGCGAAAAAGAUGCUGGCUACUGCCGCCUGUUCGUCGAAAAUCUGGAAGCAGCGGCGCUCGAAUGGUUUGCAUGCCUUCAUCGCAACAUUAUCGGGAGUUUCCGACAGCUCGCAUCAGAAUUUCUCAAACAAUACUCUGUGUUCAUAGACAGAGAAACUUCCGAUGUCGAUCUCUGGAGUCUUUCCCAGAGGGAAGACGAACCCCUCCGCGACUUUAUCAGCCGGUUCAAGCUGAUAAUGUCCAGGGUCAGCGGGAUAAGCGACAAAGGGGCCAUUGACGCGCUGAGAAACACGCUCUGGUACAAGUCAAAAUUCAGAAAGUGGAUAACCCUCGACAAACCGACAACAAUCCAGGACGCUCUCCACAAAGCAGCGGAUUACAUCAUAGUCGAGGAAGAAACUAAAAUCUUAUUGCAAAAACAUAAGGCGGCAAGACCAUCCUCGAAGGACGUAGAUCCGAAAGCAAAAAAGAAGAACUCUCGCAACGACAAGUAUGUCCAUCACGAGGGGGAAGAUCUCCAAGGGGCACAUAAUUACGCGAUCAAUUCAGACCAAGGCCGAACCACGGGCAAUACGUGGACCCGCAACCAAGGGUAUGACGAAACCACCUUCUGCGAGUUCCACCAGUCCCGAGGACACUCUACGACCAACUGCAAAGUCUUGGGAGCAAGGAUGCCCGCAAAGCUACUCGCUGGAGAGAUCGCGGAAGUAACCAGCGUGAAGGAUCUCAUCCUUGACUCUGAUCGCCCUCCAAAGACGGACAGAAAUCCGCCCGCUGAGAAAUCCCCUCAACGAAACCAGCCCGGGGAUAAACGCGGUAGAAGGCCGGACAACAAGGGGAAUGAUAACAAUCGUCGCAGAGUCAACAUGAUCAUCGGAGGAUCACAAUACUGCAGCGAUACUGUUUCAGCUAUCAAGGCUUACCAACGGAAGGUAGAGUCGAGUGCAAAUUGGCCUAUAUGGUCGCCACCCCGAGAUGGCCAAAAUUGCUCGAUCACCUUCACAAAGGAGGAAGCCGGCGGCAUCGAUCAACCUCACUGCGAUCCGCUCGUCAUAGAUCUCGUCAUACGAGACUUAGAAGUCAGAAGGGUACUCGUCGACACGGGAAGCACGGUCAACGUAAUCUUCCGCGACACUCUCAAGCGCAUGAGCAUCAAACUCGGAGAAGUAAUUCCGACACCGAAACCGCUCACGGGUUUUUCAGGCGAAGUAUCGAUGACUCUUGGAUCAAUCCAGUUGCCAGUCAUGGCCAAGGAUAUCACGAAAAUCGUCGAAUUCGCGGUAGUCGAUCAUCCUGCUAUCUACUACGUGAUCAUGGGAACUCCAUGGCUCAAUGCCAUGCAAGCAGUUCCAUCAACCUACCACUUGGGUCUCAAAUUUCUGACCCCAAGCGGAUUACGCGGAUAUGCUUCCUCGCAGAGCACAAGUUGAGGCAAAUCACGACAUCUGCAACUGCGAAUCGCAAACGCACGAAGAUAGAUCGAUCUUCGGCCAAAAACGCCCCAAGGAAAGACGAAUUAACAUCGUCUGCCGACGCAAACGGGUCAGACGUCGAAACUCAACACGAGUCCGAAGCCGACGCUACAACUCAACCGGAACAUCCGGAAAAUAACGUUGACCCGGCCACGAUCAACACGGUCAAGGCGGUCAGCGCGACGUCUACCGCCGAGUAAAAACACUCGCGGCAUGAAACAGAACUACGAGAUGGCUUGGUCCUCGAAAGGGGUACGUAGGCAGCUUGUCAAAAGACGAGUUCAGCUAUCCCCUCUCUAAAAAGGGGGGGGGGAAUGGGUGUGUAUACUCACGUAGGCAGCUUGUCAAAAGACGAGUUCAGCUAUCCCCUCUCUAAAAAGGGGGGGGGGGAAUGGGUGUGUAUACUCGUAUACUCCCACUUAGAAAAAUCUUCAUUAUUGUAAUCGAGUUUUUAGAAACUUCAAAAAUUUUUACUACAAUCUAUGUUACUCCCUUUUUAUCGAAAACGUUUUACGCUUCAGUUAGACGCAAAAACUUUCAGGAUACACCUGGAAACGUUAAGACUCUUGUCUGCGGCCUCAUCCGGCCCAAAAUCAUAAUGUUAUCAUCUUUCAAACACUUACAGAUACACGUAUAAUCCUCGAAACAACUGCGAGACGUCGCAAAGUUAAAAUUCGAAGAUAAUGCGAACAAAUUAUCCAAACGCGACCACCAAAACCUUACACCCCGUUCCUCGAUUGGCCCCGACGAACACGCCAGCCGUUUUAAACAAACGUAAUUUGAUCACUCUUUUGAUCUUCAAAACGUCCAACACAAGGACGAAAGCGCGCUACAACAAAAAUCUGAAAUCUUGGUUUAGCACUUCCAGUUGGCUUAAAAAUUGCCUCUGAGAAGAUGCUCGAUUCGUACCAUACAAGUCAUAUAAGCGGAGAACCUAUCGCGGACUUUAAAUCGGUAUGAGUCAGGAAGAAAUCGCAACAGGAAAAACAGGACGUCUGUGGGUGUCCGUCAGCACAUAUAGGACGUCUGUGGCUAUCCGUGUGUGUACGUUUGUGCCCGUCAGCAAACACAUGACGUCUGUGGCUGUCCAUCAGUACUCAUAUCAGCACGUUGGUCCUUGGACUCAGCAGGCUGACCCUUCCCGUAGACUGUUCGGUUGAUUUUGGCCCACGUGGGAUGUCUAUUCAGUACACACAGGACGUCCGUGGGUGUCCGCCAGCACACACAUGCCAUCUGUGGCUGUCCGUGGCUGUCCGUCAGCACACACAGGACGUCCGUGGCUGCCCGUGUGUGUCUGUGUGUGUCCAUUUGUGUCCGUCAGCACACACAGGACGUCCGUGGGUGUCCGUCAGCACACACAGGACGUUCGUGUGUGUCCGCCAGCACACACAGGUCAUCUGUGCCUAUCCGUGUGUCCGUCAGCACAAACUGGACGUACGUGGCUGUCCAUCAGUACACAUAUCAGCACGCUGAUCCUUGGACUCAGCACGCUGGACCUUCCUGUGGACUGUUCGGGUGAUUUUGGCCCACGUGGGCUGUCUGUUAAGUACACACAGGACGUCUGUGUGUCCAUCAGCACACACAAGACGUCUGUGUGUGUCCGUCAUCACACACAGGACGUCCGUGGCUGUCCGUCAGUACACACAGGACGUCUGUGGCUGUCCGUGUGUGUCCGCCAGCACACACAGGACGUUCGUGGCUGUCCAUCAGUACACAUAUCAGCACGUUGCUCCUUGGACUCAGCACGCUGACCCUUCCCGUGGACUGUUCAGGUGAUUUUGGCCUACAUGGGCUGUCUGUUCAAUACACACAGGACGUCCGUAGGUGUCCGCCAGCACACACAGGACGUCAGUGGCCAUCCGUGUGUGUCCAUUAGCACACACAGGCGUCCGUGGCUGUCCACCAGUACACAUAUCAGCACGUUGGUCCUUGGACUCAGCACGCUGGCCCUUCCUGCCGACUGUUUGGGUGAUUUUGGCCCACGUGAGCUGUCUGUUCAGUACAUACAGGACGUCCGUGGGUAUCCGCCAGCACACACAGGACGUCUGUGGCUGUCCGUGUGAGUACGUGUGUGUCCGUUUGUGUCCGUCAGCACACACAGGACGUCCGUGGGUGUCCGUCAGCACACACAGGACGUCUGUGUGUGUCCGCCAGCACACACAGGUCGUCCGUGGCUGUCCGUGUGUGUCCGUCAGCACACACAACCAAUACACACAGGACGUCUAUGGCUGUCUGUGGCUGUCCGUCAGCACACACAGGACGUUCGUGUGUGUCCGUCAGCACACACAGGACAUCCGUGGCUGUCUAUCAGUACACAUAUCAGCACGCUGGUCCUUGGACUCAGCACGCUGGCCCUUCCCGUGGACUGUUUGGGCGAUUUUGGCCCACGUGGGCUGUCUGUUCAGUACACACAGGACGUCUGUGGGUGUCCGCCAGCAAACACAGGACGUCUGUGGCUGUCCGUGGCUGUUCGUGUGUGUCCGUGUGUGUCCGUGAGCACACACACAGGACAUCUGUGGCUGUCCAUCAGUACACAUAUCAGCACGCUGGUACUUGGACUCAGCACGCUGGCCCUUCCCGUGGAUUGUUCAAGUGAUUUUGGCCCACGUGGGCUGUCUGUUCACUACACACAGGACGUCCGUGAGUGUUCGUCAGCACACACAGGACAUCCGUGUGUGUCCGUCAGCACACACAGGACGUCCGUGGCUGUCCAUGUGUGUCCGUGUGUGUCCGUCAGCACACAUAGGACGUCCGUGGCUGUCCAUCAGUACACAUAUCAGCACGUUGGUCCUUGGACUCAGCACGCUGACCCUUCUCGUGAACUGUUCGGGUGAUUUUGGCCCACGUGGGCUGUCUGUUCAGUACACUGUCCGUGUGUGUCCGUCAGAACACACAGGACGUUCGUGGCUGUCCAUCAGUUCACAUAUCAGAACGUUGGUCCUUGGACUCAGCACGCUGACCCUUCCCGUGGACUGUUCGGGUGAUUUUGGCCCACGUGGGCUGUCUGUUCAGUACACACAGGACGUCCAUGGGUGUCCGCCAGCACACACUAGACAUCCGUGGCUGUCCGUGUAUGUCUGUCUGUGUCCGUCAGCACACACAUGACUUAUGUGGCUGUUCAUCAGCACACACAUGACUUCUGUGGCUGUCCAUCAGUACACAUAUCAGCACGUUGGUCCUUGGACUCAACAUGCUGGCCCUUCCCGUGGACUGUUCGGGUGAUUUUGGCCCACGUGGGCUGUCUGUUCAGUACACACAGGACGUCCGUGGGUGUCCGCCAGCAAAGACAGGACGUCUGUGUGUGUCCGUCUGUGUCCGUCAGCACACACAGGACGUCCGUGGGUAUCCAUCAGUACACAUAUCAGCACGUUGGUCCUUGGACUCAGCACGCUGACCCUUCUCGUGAACUGUUCGGGUGAUUUUGGCCCACGUGGGCUGUCUGUUCAAUACACACAGGACGUCCGUGGGUGUCCGCCAGCACACACAGGACGUCCGUGGCUGUCUGUGUGUGUCCGUCAGCACACACAGGACGUCUGUGGCUGUCCACCAGUACACAUAACAGCACGUUGGUCCUUGGACUCAGCAUGCUGGCCCUUCCCAUCGGCUGUUUGGGUGAUUUUGGCCCACGUGGGCUGUCUGUUCAGUACACACAGGACGUCUGUGGGUGUCUGCCAGCAAACACAGGACGUCUGUGGCUGUCCGUCAGCACACACAGGACGUCCGUGGCUGUCUGUGUGUGUCCGUGUGUGUCUGUUUGUGUACAUCAGCACACACAGGACGUCUGUGGGUGUCCGUCAGCACACACAGGACGUCUAUGGCUGUCCGUGUGUGUCUGUGUGUGUCCGUCAGCACACACAUGACAUCAGUGGCUCUCCAUCAGUACACAUAUCAGCACGUUGGUCCUUGGACUCAGCACGCUGGCCCAUCCCGUGGACUGUUUGGGUGAUUUUUGCCCACGUGGGCUGUCUGUUCAGUACACACAGGACGUCUGUGGGUGUCCGCCAGCACACACAGGAUGUCCGUGGUUGUCAGUGACUGUCCGUGUGUGUCCGUGUGUGUCCGUGAGCACAAACACAGGACGUCUGUGGCUGUCCAUCAGUACACAUAUCAGCACGCUUGUCCUUGGACUCAGCACGCUGGCCCUUCCCGUGGACUGUUCGGGUGAUUUUGGCCCAAGUGGGCUGUCUGUUCACUACACACAGUAAGUCCGUCAAUGUUCGUCAGCACACACAGGACAUCCGUGUGUGUCCGUCAGCACACACAGGACAUCUGUGGCUGUCCAUGUGUGUCCGUGUGUGUCCGUCAGCACACAUAGGACGUCCGUGGCUGUCCAUCAGUACACAUAUCAGCACGUUGGUCCUUAGACUCAGCACGCUGACCUUCCCGUAGACUGUUCGGGUGAUUUUGGCACACGUGGGCUGUCUGUUCAGUACACAUAGGACGUUCGUGGGUGUCCGCCAGCACACACAGGACAUCCGUUCUAAUAACCCUCACGAGCCAGUUAAUUUUUGGUCGAGAAAAAAUCCGCUCGAAUAGUUUGGAGUUGGUCGAUCAGAUUUAAAAAUAAAGUCAACCCGGUGAAUUAAUACCUCGACGGGACUGUCUUGUGGUCGAAAGGCCUCUCAUUGAUAGUUCUGGUAGAGUGGUAAUAAUGAUGGUCAAAUUUUAUUUAAGCUAGGCAAGCUUAGUUGAAAGCAAGACGAGAUUCGAAGGAUGAGAAAUUUUAGUUGAAAACUGUCCGAAAUUGUCGUUACGUUUCUUAACUAAAUUCCGACCAGUCUAAUACCUUCACCAGCUAUUCUGCUUGCUUUCUCAGUAAAUCAGUCACAUGAGCUGCACCUACAUGCUUGGUUGCUUCACUAAAGUCACAUGAAAGACACAAGCUGGUUGCUUGUUUAAUAAAAACAAAAUAUUCUUUCUUCAACGGAGGGAAAGGACAGCAACUUGCUUUGGUUUAAGUAAACCCUCAGCUGAAGCAACUCCUCAUGCUAUAAAAUACCUUCUUCUCUCUUCUGGACGUCCUGUUGCACAAGAAAAACCAGAGAAAAUUUCAGAGAGAAAGAGAGAAAGAAAAGAGAAAAAUCUGUGAGAAAAACUCAUGCAAAAAUUCAGAAAAAAAUCAGAGAAGAGAAGUGAGCAUGGACGAUCCUUUCUCACCCUUUUGUGAAUUUAAUCAGUGUGUUCUGGUGUGGUUAAGAACUGAAGGUUUGGUGUUCAAGAGUUUAGAAUCACCCAAGUUCUUUAGCCUUGGAUUUUAUUGGUAAGAACAUGUGGGUUUGAUGAGAUCAGUUUUGCUUAAGUUCCAGUUCUUGUUAGGUAACCAAAACGAUUUGGUCUGUUUAUGAUCUUGAACCUAUCAUGGGUAUCUUGUCCUGAUCAGGUUAGACGUGUGUUCAGAUUGAAGUUUAUAUGAACCAAGUUCAUCUUAAAGCUUGAGGAAAUCGGUAAGCCAUAGCUACUAGUUCAGAGAAGUUUUGUUUGGAACAAGUGGAAUGAUUUGUUAAGCUCCCUGUCCAGAUUAGUUUUCAAACCUGUAUGUGGAUUGAUCUUGGUUCAGUUACGUCCCUUAGAUAUCUUUUUAAAGGCUUAGCUGAACUGAAUUAUCCUUCAACCGAACUGAACUGCUUUGAACUAAGCUGAGUAGAGUUUCUGUUGGAAUCAACCUGACUGAUCUUGUAUCAACACAUUCUGAAUCAGGAGUGAAAUGGAGUGUUAUUAGUUGAGCUCGAGUCUAGUCUUCCCUAGCCAAUCUCAUGGAAUCAAAGGUGAGUCUAGAUAGAUGAUUGAUGAGUAGUGAAUGAAUAUUUAUUGAUUGAACGUACUGAUUGUAGAUGAUUGAUAGGCUUUGUCUCUUGAUCAAUAUUGAAUUGGUAAGGUGUUUA
rnacentral:lncRNA from 1 species